CUGAUAGAGAACUUCCAAAAACUCUCCUCUUUUUUUUCUACACACCUUCACUCAAACUAGCCCCCAUCUAUAUUGUGCAGCAGUCUCAAACUGAAGUCUUGUAAUCUUCGGAAGCUUUAGUUAUCUUCAAUCUCAAAGAUUGUUCACCUCAUAUUUUCCUGUCUUCCUCUGUCGGUACCAUGAGACCAGAGAAAAACCCAUUAGAUCUCAACAACUUGCCCGACGAUUACACAAGGGAUGGUAAACUGGUCUUUGAGGAAAGCUCCUCCUCGGGAUCUCGAAAAAAGAAAAGCGGCGGUAAGGAUGGGAAAGAUGAGUGCGGGAAGGUCUAUGAAUGUAGGUUUUGUUCCCUAAAGUUUUGCAAAUCUCAAGCUCUUGGGGGACACAUGAACCGCCAUCGCCAAGGCAAGUCAUUUCACUUCUUUAUUUCCACUUUUAUGUUUGUUUUUACACACUUAGGGAAGCGUCAGAGGUUGUUAUGAUGAUGGGGUUUCUCCCCAUGAA